CCCAAGUCCUACCCCCAAGAUUCUUCUCCCAUCACCCCUCUCACCUCAAAUCGACCCUUAGGAAUCGAUUUCUUCCCCAUCUCAUCCCUUAUUUGGAGCGGUUGGAGCGUGCCCUAGCUUCCACCCGUCUCUUCCAAAUCGGGGUUUCACUCCUCCAAAAAUCCCUAUUCUUCUCCUAAAAUCCCUCUAUCUCUUCACACAUUUGACCUCCCAAGACCCCUUGCUUGCUCUGAUGGUGGAAAUGGCUCCAAAAAUGAAGCUCCCACAAAGAAGGAAGUCGGUCUGCG
rnacentral:lncRNA from 1 species